UUAUUCCUAACUAAAAUAGUAAAUAGAGAUAAUAACAAAAGGAUUAUUUGUAAAAUUAAAAUAAUUAUUCUUCUUUUUGCGUUUUUGCUAAUGUAUGCGUUUAUAAACACGACAGUAGACCACACACUGUAAUGGUACCAAUGAAUGAAUACACAGAAUAUAAAGAUACUAAUAAACAAUUUCUAAGCUGUGUUAUAAUAUUUUUGAGUUCAUUAAUCAUAUUUUUUAUUUAAAAUAUAAAUUUGUUAAUAAUGCUUAGUAAUGCAUAUAUUUGUAUUUUUAGCUUUCCAGCAGAUCCUGAAAGGUGUGAAGUAUAGAUCAGAUUUUUUAAUAGAGCAGUAUGUUCAAAACAUUUUUUAGAAAUAGAUAUUGACAGAACUUCACUUUCAUCUGUUCAUUGCGAGACUGUGCUGUUCCAAUAGCUUAUGUCACACAGAAUCAGCUGAGAGAAGUGGUCUACAAAAAACCAGGAAGGAAACGGAAUAUGUGGCUACGAAA
rnacentral:lncRNA from 1 species